GAUGAACGCUGGCGGCGUGCCUAAUACAUGCAAGUCGAGCGAACAGACGAGGAGCUUGCUCCUCUGACGUUAGCGGCGUACGGGUGUGUAACACGUGGAUAACCUACCUAUAAGACUGGGAUAACUUCGGGAAACCGGAGCUAAUACCGGAUAAUAUAUUGAACCGCAUGGUUCAAUAGUGAAAGACGGUUUUGCUGUCACUUAUAGAUGGAUCCGCGCCGCAUUAGCUAGUUGGUAAGGUAACGGCUUACCAAGGCAACGAUGCGUAGCCGACCUGAGAGGGUGAUCGGCCACACUGGAACUGAGACACGGUCCAGACUCCUACGGGAGGCAGCAGUAGGGAAUCUUCCGCAAUGGGCGAAAGCCUGACGGAGCAACGCCGCGUGAGUGAUGAAGGUCUUCGGAUCGUAAAACUCUGUUAUUAGGGAAGAACAAAUGUGUAAGUAACUAUGCACGUCUUGACGGUACCUAAUCAGAAAGCCACGGCUAACUACGUG
rnacentral:rRNA from 1 species